UUGGUUCCAAUUAGGUGCUGAUGUUAUUGAUGUUAUUGAUAUGAUAAGACAAAUACAUGAGAUAAAUAUGUUUUAUUAAUCACUAAAUUGUUGCCUUGGAUUCAGAAGUGUUCCAUUUAUUUAUUUAUUCUCUGUACCAUUUUCUUUACCUUUCUUCUGUUAGCGUUCCAAGAGAGGAAACAAAAAGGACUGCCAUUCAGUCCAGGAACAGACUGAGAUUCCCUCUACUGAUGGACAUUGCAUAGCUCCAGUUGGAGAGGUUUCUCCCUCCAUAUCUCAGCCUGUCAAAAAACGAUCCUUGAUUGUCAGGGUCUUUUCAGCAAUGAUGAAGCCAUUCAGGCGCUUCACCAAGAAGAACCUGUAACCUGUUACGCUGCAUGAGGAACUACUUUUGUAACAGCAAGACUUUUGACAAGAGGAAUUUCUGCAUGUCUACCCUUUCAAAGUAUAUUUGAUCAAAUAAAUGGCAAUGAUUUUACAAGAAUUUCAAGUGUUUUGGAAGAUUAGUAAAACUGAAGCAGCUUUUCUCAGAGAA
rnacentral:lncRNA from 1 species